AUGGCCGACACGUGUCAAACUGUAGUAUAUCUGUUUUUAUCAGCCAAAUAUCUGAUACGCGUUGUAUUUGGACACAAGACAUUAAACUUAUUUUUGCAAUUUGGCGGAGUGCUUGAAGCUUGCUUCAACUUCGCCGCGGGUCGGCCCGGUAUUGCACGAUAUUCGGGAUCGGUGCCACGGAU